ACAAACUUGGUCAUUUAGAGGAAGUAAAAGUCGUAACAAGGUCUCCGUUGGUGAACCAGCGGAGGGAUCAUUACUGAGUGUAAAAACUCCCAAACCAUUGUGAACCUUACCAUCGUUGCUUCGGCGGACUCGCCCCGGGCGCGCCCCCUCUCGCGGGGGGGAGCGUCCCGGACCCAAGGCGGCCGCCGGGGGAAACCAAACUCCAUGUAUUUGCUGUGGCAUCUUCUGAGUGACAACUAAAUGAAUCAAAACUUUCAACAACGGAUCUCUUGGCUCUAGCAUCGAUGAAGAACGCAGC
rnacentral:misc_RNA from 1 species